rnacentral:rRNA from 1 species
GGUCCCGCCUGCCCUGUGACAUUGUUUAACGGCCGCGGUAUUUUGACCGUGCAAAGGUAGCGUAAUCACUUGUCUUUUAAAUGAAGACCCGUAUGAAAGGCAUCACGAGAGUUUAACUGUCUCUAUUUUCUAAUCAAUGAAAUUGAUCUUCUCGUGCAGAAGCGAGAAUAUACCCAUUAGACGAGAAGACCCUAUGGAGCUUUAAACACAUAAAUUAAUUAUGUAAAAUUAUAAUUCUACGGAUAUAAACUAACUAUAUAAUACUCCUAAUUUAACUGUUUUUGGUUGGGGCGACCAAGGGGAAAAACAAAUCCCCCUUAUCGAUCGAGUAUUCAAUACUUAAAAAUUAGAACGACAGUUCUUAUUAAUAAAAUAUUUACCGAAAAAUGACCCAGAAUUUUCUGAUCAAUGAACCAAGUUACCCUAGGGAUAACAGCGCAAUCCUUUCCAAGAGUCCCUAUCGCCGAAAGGGUUUACGACCUCGAUGUUGGAUCAGGACAUCCUAAUGGUGCAACCGUUAUUAAGGGUUCGUUUGUUCAACGAUUAAUAGUCCUACGUGAUCUGAGUU